GACGAACGCUGGCGGCGUGCUUAACACAUGCAAGUCGAACGGUAAGGCCCUUCGGGGUACACGAGUGGCGAACGGGUGAGUAACACGUGGGUGAUCUGCCCUGCACUUCGGGAUAAGCCUGGGAAACUGGGUCUAAUACCGGAUAGGACCACUGCCUGCAUGGGUGGUGGGGGAAAGCUUUUGCGGUGUGGGAUGGGCCCGCGGCCUAUCAGCUUGUUGGUGGGGUGAUGGCCUACCAAGGCGGCGACGGGUAGCCGGCCUGAGAGGGUGACCGGCCACACUGGGACUGAGAUACGGCCCAGACUCCUACGGGAGGCAGCAGUGGGGAAUAUUGCACAAUGGGCGCAAGCCUGAUGCAGCGACGCCGCGUGAGGGAUGACGGCCUUCGGGUUGUAAACCUCUUUCAGCACCGACGAAGCGCAAGUGACGGUAGGUGCAGAAGAAGGAUCGGCCAACUACGUGCCAGCAGCCGCCGUAA
rnacentral:rRNA from 1 species